rnacentral:rRNA from 1 species
GACGAACGCUGGCGGCGUGCUUAACACAUGCAAGUCGAGCGGUAAGGCUCCUUCGGGAGUACACGAGCGGCGAACGGGUGAGUAACACGUGAGCAAUCUGCCCUUCUCAUCGGAAUAACCAUUGGAAACGAUGGCUAAUGCCGAAUACGACUUCCUUUCGCAUGUCAGGAAGUGGAAAGCUCCGGCGGAGAAGGAGGAGCUCGCGGCCGAUCAGCUUGUUGGUGAGGUAAUGGCUCACCAAGGCGACGACGGGUAGCCGGCCUGAGAGGGUGACCGGCCACACUGGGACUGAGACACGGCCCAGACUCCUACGGGAGGCAGCAGUGGGGAAUAUUGGACAAUGGGCGAAAGCCUGAUCCAGCAACGCCGCGUGAGGGAUGACGGCCUUCGGGUUGUAAACCUCUUUCAGCAGGGACGAAGCGAAAGUGACGGUACCUGCAGAAGAAGGACCGGCCAACUACGUGCCAGCCGCCGCAGUAA